UACAGAGGGUGCGAGCGUUUAAUCGGAAUUACUGGGCGUAAAGCGCGCGUAGGCGGCUUUGCAAGCCGGAUGUGAAAUCCCCGGGCUUAACCUGGGAACUGCAUUCGGGACUGCAUUGCUAGAGUAUGGGAGAGGGAAGUGGAAUUUCAGGUGUAGCGGUGAAAUGCGUAGAUAUCUGGAGGAACACCGGUGGCGAAGGCGGCAUCCUGGACCGGCAUUGACGCUGAGGCGCGAAAGCCAGGGGAGC
rnacentral:rRNA from 1 species